rnacentral:misc_RNA from 1 species
CUUUAUCAUAAGAAAUCAAGAAACAUCCCUUCUAAUAAAAACUCACGCUUUAUUUGUAUACAUACAGGUGCGAAUUCCACAGAGUUAUUUUGGGAAUUUCUUGAGGACUGGCCAUCAAGAAAUCGAGACUUUAUUUAAAUAAAAAAAAAAACAUUUAUCAUUUGAUUAAACCGACAAAGAAACACAUUUACCAUCAAACUAGAUCCGAAAAUGCCACAUGAACAAUUGAUGAGAAGAAAGAAACAGUUACGACAGCCCAGGCUACACAGCAUUAAUGCCUUGAGCAAACAGUGACUUAAAAACCUCCAUUUCCUGUCUUGGUAAGGCUAACGCAAUCUCAACUUCUCCCUUUCCAUCUCUACCUU